rnacentral:lncRNA from 1 species
AGUAUUUUUUUUUCUCAAGAACAAAAUUUUUAAUCUAGGAGCGAUGGUGGAGCGUAAGCUGCGAACAUUAUGAGUUUGAACAAUAAUAAGAAUGAGAUGGUUUGGCUGUCUUGGUUUGACAUUGAAAUCUGAGAUCUUGAGAGUCAAAUAAUUUAAAUUCAAUGAUUUAGCUUAUAAUUUUUUUUAGUAACUCGAAAGUUAGUCUUCAUUUCAUCUUGUUCAAUUGCAAGCAUGCCAGAUCACCAUGAAUUGGUAUCAAAUAGGUCUAUGGUCUUAAUUGCAUGUUUUGGUGCGACAACAGAAUGACUUGCAUUGGUUACUUCUUCUGUCCUAGGUUUAGUGUUCUUAAGUUCUACAUUUGCAAGUUGGUGACGUGGUUUUCAUGGCAUACUAGAACAAAAAAUUCACAUUUAUUUGGGAGCCAUCUUGUAUUUCUUUUCAUGUUGGCUUUUCCUUUUCAAUUCUUCCACUUUGCUCACUUGGCAUGGUAGGGUCGGGUUGGGUCUUUGGUUUAUGUUGACUAUUGCAAAACAGAUGUUUAAAUUUUAAUAAUAUCAGAAUGGUAUAGUUUGCGAACUUGUCAUGGUUCAUUUAUUAUAUACCAUUUGUGGUGUUUAGUUUUGCUUAUUAUACACUUUCCUGAUUUAUUUUUGUAUGUUGAAAAUAGUAGUCAAUCUCCUCUCAAACUGAAAAAUAAAAGUAAUUAUUUCAAGAGUUUUUGGCUGAAUAUUUCAGCCCUGAGAUGGAUUCUGUUUUUAAGAGCUUACACCAUUGUUUUGCAGGAUUUCUUGUUGCUUGAUUAUCCAGUCCUCAGAACUCAUACACAAAAAUUCAGGGGAAACCAUUACUUAAGUACUGAUUUAUUGUUAGCAAAGUUACAGACAGUUUGAAAUUGCAGCUUUGCACAACCUGCCAUGGUAUAGUUACAUUUUAUCUCCAAUGAAAAUUAAAAUCUUGGUAAAAAUUUUCUUUUGCACCUAACGGAUAAAGAAUCUUUAGAGCAUGAGCUGUAAUAAUUUUAAAGGAAGGCAUGUUUUGAAAGUAUUUAUAGACGGUUUAAAUAAUAAAUAGAAGGAAAUUAGCGAUGGAUAAGUGGGUAGUACUUGUGGGCUCCUCCAAAAUAUGUGGAUAAAGAGUGACUUGAGUGUUUAUAAAUAGUUUAUAAACAUGAGCCAUACAUAGGCUAAGAAUCAGAAGAAGUAUCGGAUAGUGAAUCUCAAUAAUUUAUCAUGUUUUGCUUUAUGGAAUAUAGUUGUUAGAUUAAUAUUGUAACAGUGAAAUAUGUGCCAAGUUCAGCACAUAUUUUCCUGUUAAACCUAGUUAACUACGAAUAUGAUCCUAGUUUUUUUUUUUUUUUUUUUUU